rnacentral:rRNA from 1 species
UACGAAGGGGGCUAGCGUUGCUCGGAAUCACUGGGCGUAAAGCGCACGUAGGCGGCUUCUUAAGUCAGGGGUGAAAUCCUGGAGCUCAACUCCAGAACUGCCUUUGAUACUGAGGAGCUUGAGUUCGGGAGAGGUGAGUGGAACUGCGAGUGUAGAGGUGAAAUUCGUAGAUAUUCGCAAGAACACCAGUGGCGAAGGCGGCUCACUGGCCCGAUACUGACGCUGAGGAGCGAAAGCCAGGGGAGCAAAGCGGG